GCCCGGUUAGCUCAAUCGGUAGAGCGUGAGACUCUUAAUCUCAAGGUUGCGGGUUAGUAGCUAGUCCCAGCUCUUCUAAAGCCGGUUUGGUAUUCCAUUCUAACAUACAGUUCACAGGUUCGACCCCCGCAUCGGGCU